GUGAGUCAUCGAAUCUUUGAACGCACAUUGCGCCCCUUGGUAUUCCGAGGGGCAUGCCUGUUCGAGCGUCAUUACACCCCUCAAGCACUGCUUGGUCUUGGGCUCCGCCGCUCACCCGGCGGGCCUCAAAACGAGUGGCGGCGCCAUCAGGCUCUGAGCGUAGUAAAUUUCCUCGCUACGGAGUCCUGGUGGACGCUGGCCAUCAACCCCCAACUUUCUAAGUUUGACCUCGGAUCAGGUAGGGAUACCCGCUGAACUUAAGCAUAUCAAUAAGCGGAGGA
rnacentral:misc_RNA from 1 species